AACGAACGCUGGCGGCAGGCCUAACACAUGCAAGUCGAACGCCCCGCAAGGGGAGUGGCAGACGGGUGAGUAACGCGUGGGAACCUACCCAGUGGUACGGAACAACCCAGGGAAACUUGGGCUAAUACCGUAUACGCCCCUAGGGGGAAGAUUUAUCGCCAUUGGACGGGCCCGCGUUGGAUUAGCUAGUUGGUGGGGUAAUGGCCUACCAAGGCAACGAUCCAUAGCUGGUCUGAGAGGAUGAUCAGCCACACUGGGACUGGGACACGGCCCAGACUCCUACGGGAGGCAGCAGUGGGGAAUCUUGGACAAUGGGCGCAAGCCUGAUCCAGCCAUGCCGCGUGAGUGAAGAAGGCCCUAGGGUUGUAAAGCUCUUUCGGCGGGGACGAUAAUGACGGUACCCGCAGAAGAAGCCCCGGCUAACUCCGUGCCAGCCGCCGCAGUAACAC
rnacentral:rRNA from 1 species